rnacentral:rRNA from 1 species
GUCGAACGCUGGCGGCGUGCUUAACACAUGCAAGUCGAACGAAGUGGCGAACGGGUGAGUAACGCGGAAUCAACCUGCCCUUCAGAGGGGGACAACAGUUGGAAACGACUGCUAAUAACGCAUACUGAAGGAGGGGAUUGCGUCUGAAUAGCUAGUAGGAGGGGUAACGGCACACCAAGGCGAUGAUCAGUAGACGGUCUGAGAGGAUGAGCGGCCACAUUGGUACUGGGCCACGGCCCAGACGCCUACGGGAGGCAGCAGUGGGGAAUCUUCCGCAAUGGACGAAAGUCUGACGGAGCAACGCCGCGUGAGUGAGGACGGCCUUCGGGUUGUAAAGCUCUGUUAAUCGGGACGCGGUACCGGAAUAGAAAGCCACGGCUAACUACGUGCCAGCAGCCGCGGUAAUAC